rnacentral:rRNA from 1 species
GUGAAAUUGUUGAAAGGGAAACGCUUGAAGUCAGUCGCGUUGGCUAGGAAUCAGUCUUGCUCCUGCUUGAUGUACUUUCUGGUUGACGGGUCAGCAUCAAUUUUGACCAUUGGAAAAAGUCUUUGGGAAUGUGGCAUCUUCUGGAUGUGUUAUAGCCCUUUGUCGUAUACGGUGGUCGGGAUUGAGGAACUCAGCACGCCGCAAGGCGGGGUCGUUUUUCGACCACGUUCGUGCUUAGGAUGCUGGCAUAAUGGCUUUAAUCGACCCGUCUUGAAACACGGACCAAGGAGUCUAACAUGCCUGCGAGUGUUUGGGUGGAAAACCCAUGCGCGCAAUGAAAGUGAAAGUUGAGAUCCCCUUCAAACAAGGGAGCAUUGACGCCCGGACCAGACCUUUUGUGACGGAUCCGCGGUAGAGCAUGCAUGUUGGGACCCGAAAGAUGGUGAACUAUGCCUGAAUAGGGUGAAGCCAGAGGAAACUCUGGUGGAGGCUCGUAGCGAUUCUGACGUGCAAAUCGAUCGUCAAAUUUGGGUAUAGGGGCGAAAGACUAAU